rnacentral:rRNA from 1 species
CACAUGCAAGUCGAGGGGUAACGAUGGUGCUUGCACCAGGCGACGACCGGCGCACGGGUGAGUAACGCGUAUGCAACCUACCCAUAACUUGAGAAUAGCCCAUAGAAAUGUGGAUUAAUACUCAAUAAUAUUUUUUAGAGGCAUCUCUAAAUUCUUAAAGUUCCGGCGGUUAUGGAUGGGCAUGCGUGACAUUAGUUUGUUGGUGGGGUAACGGCUCACCAAGUUGACGAUGAUGUCUAUGGGGUCUUAAAGGAUGGUCCCACACACUGGUACUGAGACACGGACCAGACUCCUACGGGAGGCAGCAGUGAGGAAUAUUGGGCAAUGGGUGCAAACCUGACCCAGCCAUACCGCGUGCAGGAUGACGGCCCUAUGGGUUGUAAACUGCUUUUAUACGGGAAGAAAAAUCUCUACGUGUAGAGAACUGACGGUACCGUACGAAUAAGGAUCGGCUAACUCCGUGCCAGCAGCCGCGGUAAUACGGAGGAUCCAGGCGUUAUCCGGAUUUAUUAGGUCUAAAGGGUGCGUAGGCGGAAAUAUAAGUCAGUGGUGAAAUCCUGCAGCUCAACUGUAGAACUGCCAUUGAUACUGUUUUUCUUGAGUAUAGUUGAGGUAGGCGGAAUGUGUAGUGUAGCGGUGAAAUGCAUAGAUAUUACACAGAACACCAAUUGCGAAGGCAGCUUACUAAACUAUAACUGACGCUGAUGCACGAAAGCGUGGGUAGCGAACAGGAUUAGAUACCCUGGUAGUCCACGCCGUAAACGAUGAUUACUCGUUGCAUGCAAUACACCGUAUGUGACUUAGCGAAAGCAUUAAGUAAUCCACCUGGGGAGUACGUUGGCAACAAUGAAACUCAAAGGAAUUGACGGGGGCCCGCACAAGCGGAGGAACGUGUGGUUUAAUUCGAUGAUACGCGAGGAACCUUACCUGGACUUAAAUGUAGAACGACAGAUCGGGAAACUGAUCUUUCUUCGGGCGGACUGCAAGGUGCUGCAUGGCUGUCGUCAGCUCGUGCCGUGAGGUGUCGGGUUAAGUCCCAUAACGAGCGCAACCCCUAUCAUUAGUUGCUAACAGGUAAUGCUGAGGACUCUAGCGAGACUGCCACCGUAAGGUGUGAGGAAGGUGGGGAUGACGUCAAGUCAGCACGGCCCUUAUAUCCGGGGCUACACACGUGUUACAAUGGUCGAUACAAAGGGCAGCUACACGGCGACGUGAUGCAAAUCUCGAAAAUCGAUCUCAGUUCGGAUUGAAGUCUGCAACUCGACUUCAUGAAGGUGGAUUCGCUAGUAAUCGUGCAUCAGCAACGGCACGGUGAAUACGUUCCCGGGCCUUGUACACACCGCCCGUCAAGCCAUGGAAGCUGAGGGUACCUGAAGUCUGUAACCGUAAGGAGCGGCCUAAGGUAAAAUUAGUA